UUUUUCUUUUUCUUUUUCUUUUUUUUUUUUUUUGGCUUUUUAGGGCCACACCCAUGGCAUAUGGAGGUUCCUAGGCUAGGAGUCUAAUGGGAGCUACACCUGCUGGCUUACGCCACAGCCACAGCAAUGCCAGAUCCGAGCCACAUCUUCGACCUACACCACAGCUCAUGGCAAUGCCAGAUCCUUAACCCGCUGAGUGAGGCCAGGGAUCGAACCCGCAACCUCAUGGUUCCUAGUCAUAUUCGUUUCUGCUGUGCCAUUAUGGGAACUCCUAUCUCCACUUUUUCUAUCUCUGCUUAUAUUACCCAACUGUUCUUUCAUGUUGUCUAUGUUGUCCACUAAAGCCAUUUGUAAAAUUCCUGGUCUGAUAAUUCCAACAUUCUUGCCAUAUCUGACUGGUUCUAAUGCUUGCUCAGAUUCUUUAAACUGAGGAGUUUCUUUGCUGUUUGUUUUGCUUUUUGGUAUAGCUUAUAAUUUUUUUUUUCUUGAUAGAUAUGAUGCACAAAGUAAUAACUCAAUCUCAACCCCCAGGGCAGGCUGGGGGCUGGAGAAUGAGGGGGGAGCACCUGUGCGAGUGGGGAAGGGUCUCCCCCAGCACAUCCCGGGAAUCAGCCGCGUGUGGGCCCAGGGGUGUGGCAGUGAGGUCCUGAAACCAAGCUAGCUCUGAACCAAGCCACCUUCUGGAAGGAUGCCAAGGCAAACUCCUCAGCCUCUCCUCCCCUGGCCUCUGAGAGCCUCUUCAGAGUAGCCCCUCCCCCCACAGGCUGCCCCAGGCUGCUUGGGCGGGGGUGGGGGGCUGGUGGCUCUCUGCUGGGCUCCCUCCCCGUCCCCCGCGGUCCCGGGUAGUGUAGUCGACUGACCGACUGACCGAUAGAUGCGGGUGCUUCUGAGGUGGGGUGGUGCCAGCAGCCAAGGGGUUAAUGGUCCUGGCCGGGGGCCGCGUGGGACCGAAGGGGUCAGAUAUCCUUACAGGAUGGGGACAUGCACAGAGGCUGCUAUUCCAGGGCUCUGAUCACGGUCACCUAUUUAUAGCGCUGGAGAGGGGGAGGGCUCUGCCCUCCCCACAGAAGCUGCAGAGAGGCGUCUCUCUGCCGCUUUGUGAUAGUAAGCUGCAGAGGGGGAGGAAGCAUUUUGUAGUACUGUGGUUAGGUCUCACUGUCAGUGAGCUCGUGGCCUUGGACUGUGAAUUUCACAGUUCUUCUCAGUCCCACCCACUCUCUUUUAAAUGGGACAGAAUAGUUAGAGUGGGCUGGAGUUACUUCCUUCCCUGGGAUCAGCUGGGUUCUCAUAAGACUCUGGUGGAUUAAGCUCUGGUAAAACAGUUUCUCUUGAGAGAAGGUCCAUUACAAAAUGACAAUUUUUUCCCCUCCUCCUUCCUGAAGAACAAAGAGAUUUUUCUCCAGUCUUUACUGUAUCUGGUAGAGAACCUGGAGUAAAACUCAUAAAAGUUUUGAGGGAGGGUCCCUCUCUGUUUGGGUCCUCCUAGAGUCUUUAACUCUCAGGUUUGUUUCCACUGAUCCUUCAGCAAUUCAUCCAUCACUGGGGUUUUCCUAUCAUAGUACUAGUUCCCACAGUUUUCUGCUCAUGGGUUUCUGCUGUAGUGAGUUGUGAUUCUCUGUAUCCAGUCUGUUCAUCUCUCCAAUUUUGGAGAUUGUGGUUUGCCUUGGGACCUUGUUUUUCUGGUAGAGCUAAACAGAGUUGUUGAUUUUCCAUUUCUUCAGAUUUUUGCUUGCUAGGACAGAAUUGUAACAUCUAAGCUCUUCUAAGAUCCACUGAAAAUCCAAACUUUUUUCAAGACAUUAAACUCAUUUAUAAGAGGAGGGAAUAAAUAUUCCCCAGGCUAUUUAUAACCCAUGUUAGGAAAUAUCCAUAUAUUUGGGGGUUUGAAGAUAUAAUACUUCCUACACUGCCUCAAUUGCAGACUAAUGUCUUUUUUCUAUGUUCUUGUCUGCUUUUUUCAAGGUUGGUUUCAAACAGUGCUUCUGAAAACAUUAAAUGUUCUAUGAGUUGAAAACCAGAGGAGGUUUAAGGACUCUGUAAACAACAAAAAGACUGAAAUGAUAAUUCAAAAGAGUCAAGUACCCAGGGAUAUUAUCAAGCAGAAAGAUGGUUUUUAAAGUCGGCUUAUUCUCAUGGUAAUAAUUUUCAUACUCAGGACUAAAGGCAUGGAGUACAACAUUCAAAAAUAAUUAAUGUUACCAAAAAUUAGCCUUUAAAAGAUUAUCUUCUCAAAGAACAUAUAGUCAUCCUGGAAAAACUAGAGGACUUAUUUUAAAAUUACUGGGUGUAUUUUUAUCAGGUAAAAAUUUAGUCAAACUUUUGGACCUUUAAAAUUGGGGGUAGCUCUUUUUAUCUUUGUGGUUUACACAUUAUCCCACAUUUUCCCCCAAAUAGACCAACUUCUUUCACACCAAAAUCAACUGAAGUGAGCAACCACUUUCCUUAAUGUUCCACAUGUGUUUUAGGGGAUACUUACCUACUAAGAUUGCUACCCUUGUGGCAUGUCACUUCUAUCUCACAUCUAUUCUAUUUUGACUUGGAUUAUAAAUACACAUAAGCAGCAUUUUUACCUUGAGAAUCUUCAGGUUCUCAAACUAUCAGCCUGGACACUGGAUCAGCCAUCAUGCCCGUAUCUGCUGCUUACAUGAGCCUUUGUCUCUAAGGAUUUCUCGUUCUAAAAUUCUUUCCCAGUCUCCCAGCUCCAAAUAAACACUCCGAGUUAAUUCUACUCACCCUUCACAUUUCAGGAAAGAAAGCCUUAUUCACCCCUCCCACUCUAGGUUGGAGUAGUCAACCACAUGUUCCCAUAGAAACAUGUCCCCUUCUUUGAUCCUAUUUAUCUUGAUUUGUAACUAUGAGUUCAUACAGUGUGAUAAAUUGCUAUGAAAAUUUCACAAAUAUGCUGACUGCUUUUGCCCACUCUGUAUUCUUACAUCCUCAGCACUUGGCAAAGAAUGAGCAAUAAAUAAAUAUUUGUUGAAUGAACAAAAUAAACAUCAAUAUGUCCCAUAAAAUCAUUAUAUCUGCAAGCCAGUUAACCUAGAGGGGAUCUAAUGGAAUGGUACAUAUUGAUAGGAGUAAAGAUAGGAACAGCAGGGGAAUGAAAAGCAUCUAACAUCAGGUUUCACAAUUUUCCCCAAGGUCAAUAUUUCCCCAUGACCAUUAGAUAAGUGUGCAGAUUCCCCUAACAGUCCACAAUUUUUCCCAUAUUUGCUACUAACCCUCCUGAAAUGCAAGUAUUCCUCAGAUUCUUUCAAAGUUAACUUAUACAUUCUUAUCCAUCUUGUUUUGUACUCUGGGGAAUUUUUUUAAACUCUGAAAUAAACCGUAUGGAGUUCUAGGCUAAAAAUCUGACUAUAGUGAGAGUUGGUCCAUUUUUGUCUUGCAUUCUCUUUCACAUUCCCAAGGGUGGUGACACAGUGUGCUACAGUGUCUUGCAAUGACCCUGUCUUCCCACUGUCAUUCUUCCCAAUUGUGAGAUGCUGUCUGGCUUGUUUGGAGGUCUGAGAGAUGAAUGUAUACCUCAGGGGACUGUAUCAGUAUUUAUUGUCAGGGUGGCAAACAGUAAGAGGGAGAAGGAGAGUAGUAAAAACCAUCUGUACCGGGAAUUAUAAAGCCAGAAAGGGACUAGCAGGGAGUCCUACAUCCAUCACCACAUGGAAGCCCAAUUAAAACACAUGCAUUCACAAAAUGGGAUCUUAGCCGAAUAUGUCUCAAUGAGAAAAUGCUGCAACUGAAAUCACACUGAACUUAUUCACUAUUAAGUAGAAUAGAAUAAAUGGAAAUGAGGAGGCAGGAAUAAAGACCUAAUGAAAUGUUCUUACUAUAUUUUUUAACUUCCUCUACUGCAAGUAAACAAAAUUCACAUUUCCAAGUCAACUAAAAGGAAUCUUAAGUGAAAGAUUGGCAGAAGUUAUGUUAUAGGACAUUAAGGAUAACUACUUUCCUUACAAGUAUGAAAAGCAGCAUAUAAUUUGAAGGUGUAUGACACAGACUUAAGUAUCUAGACAUAUGAAAAGGUAUAUUUUUAAUACACUAAAAAGCACAGAAAGUAGCUAAAACAUGAAUAUUGUGAAAAUAAAAAUAAGCAUGCCUGUCAGAUAUGCACCAUGUACGAUUGAAGGAUUCACAAGGAAGUGUUCACCAUCUGAUGAACCCUGCAUCACAGGGUUGAUUCUUGCAAAUGCCUCUUCACUGUAACCAUUUUUACCUACUUUAGUUCCUCUGCUUUAGUUCAUCUCUUUCUCUGUAUACCAGUAUGGAGUUUCAAGGCUGAUUAGGUUGUUAACUUCUUUGAUGCCAAAUUAUCAACUCCAGUUUGCUUAUAACAGUAUCUCAGUGUUAAAUAAACAGCUUCUUGAGAUAGCUAUAAGAAUGUUUUGAUGACUUGUGAACUUUAGAAAGAUGAAUAUUCUUCUGUAUAUUUAGUUCCUAUGCAUUUGAGGAAAAGAUGUCUGCAAUAUCUAAGGUCAUGUACCAAGGUUUCCUUAACUAAAUUUUCAGAAUUUUACUCCAAAUCAAAUGCAAUAGCACACUGAAUGAUUAUGGAUCACUCAUAUGUAAAGCAUUUUUCAUGUCAGGGAAUGUUACAGAUAUAAACAGAAGUAUCUUAUUUGGAAUGAUCCUCCAUUUAUGUAGAUACAGUAUACAGAUGAAUUCUGUACAUGAUAAAAUUUUGUUUCAAAACCAUUAAUUAAAAAAGAAUAUGUAUAUAUUUAUAAUAUGCAUAACAUAUACAUUUAUCGAGCUCCUCAUAUAAAUACACUUAACAUGAUAUUCAACAUGGUUAGUAAUUCAGGGCUACUUAUUUUACUACAAAAUUAUACAUCAAUGUUUCUGAAAUGUGAAAGGCUCUUUAGCCCUAGUAUUUAAUGAAUAACAUAUGGGUGUACUUUUUGAGUUUCAGAGGCUAUAUUUUAUGCUUUUAACCUCAUUGAUCCCUUCAUGAAUGAUAUACAUUCUAUUGACUUGUUUUUCCCCUAAUUGAAAAGUAUAUUCCAGAUAAUUGAGGCCAGCAGCUAAGUAGAUUCUGAAUAAGAAAUAUCAUGCAUCUAACUAUUAAAUGGUUAUAUAGUCAUCAAUAUUCACGUAAUUAAGCUAGGAUUUUUUUUCAAGAAACUUCAUUUAAAAAUUGAGUUUCAUCAGUCUGAAAAAAAAAUUUGUUUAGAAGUUAAUAGAAAAACGGAGUUCCCACCGUGGGUCAGUGGAAAUGAAUCCAGCUAAUAACUAUGAGGAUUCAGCUUUGAUCCUUGGCCUCGCUCUUGGGUUAAGGACCCAGUGUUGCCCUGUGGUGUAGGUUACAGACGCAGCUUGGAUCCUGUGUUGCUAUGGCUGUGCUGUAGGCCAGCAGCUGUAGCUCUGAUCCGACCCCUAGCCUGAGAACUUCUAUAUGCCGUGGUACAAUCCUUAAAAAAAAAGGUUAAUAGAAAAAUGACCUUUGGAAUACUUGGCAUAGUUUUUUUUUCUGCCUUCUAAUAAAUCAUACAUAGUAAGCUUCAAUUCACCCUUCACAUCCCAGCUAAAAUGAUGCUCACAUAGGGAUAGCUUUCAUGAAUCCCUCUACUUUAAAUAAGAUCAGUCCUUCACUAAGAUUUUCAGUUACAUAUAAGUUAUCUUCCUCAUAGACCGAAAGCUCCAGGUAGAGUGACUGCUUUACUCACUACUGCAUAUAGCGUGAAGGACAGUGUCUAGAAGAGAUGGGUACACAACGGACCUGCUUUGCAUAAGUGAAUGACUAUGUUUAUGAUGGCUCUGGGAAAAGUCUGAAGGAAAUAUGGUAAGGGAAGAUUCAGAUCUGCAAAUAAACAGAUCUGGGUUUUGAUACCAGCCCCAGCAUUUAUUACUAGUAUAUUUAUUUAAAUGUCCUUAUUUCUGUGUUAAUAUCCCCUACUACCUUGAGAUACAGUGAUAAUAAAUUAAGUAAUUUUGUGAAUGAAUCCAAUAUUUAUUAAGUACUUAGGCUUGUUUGAUGGCUAAAAAAAAAUCUCUGCUUUAGGGUCAAACUUGAGUUUGGAUCAUAGCCUUGCACUUAAGAGCUGAGUUAGGUGAAGUCAUUAAUUAUCCUUGAGAUUUAGUUUCCACAUCUGUAAAAUAGUGAUAAUACUAUCUAUUCAAGAAUUUUGAGGAUUUAUGUACUUUAUUUUAUAUAAAGUGCUUAGCCCAGAGCCUGGCACGUGGUAAAUGCUCAGCACUUCCUCUCAUGAGCCACAUGACUACUAACCACCUAAACCCUGCCACACACACACAGAACAGAAUGAGCAAUGGUUUCAAGGGGAACUAGUAUGCAUUUAAAUAUGUAUCCUAGAGAAACAGAUAUAAAAAGUGAAAUAACCUUGGAGCAGCACAUGAUUUGACUGUGAAGUCAUAGGUGGGGGUUAGUUAGGUUAGGUAAUGACUGCUUCUGGAGUCAAAGUUUGCAGGUUCAAACCCAGGAUCUGUCACUAACUGAUCAUAUGUUACUACCCAAAGCCUUAAUUUUCUCUCCUGUAGAUAAAACAAUACCAAUACAUGGAGGGGUUUUUUUGCUUUAUGUUUUUUUUUUUUUUUUUUUUUGGGUCUUUCUGUCUUUUCUAGGGCUGCACCCACAGCAUGUGGAGAUUCCCAGGCUAGGGGUCCAAUCGGAGCUGUAGCCUCCAGCCUACGCCAGAGCCACAGCAAUGCCAGAAUUGAGCCGCGUCUGCAACCUACACCACACACAGCAAUGCCAGAUCCUUAACCCACUGAGCGAGGCCAGGGAUUGAACCUGCAAACUCAUGGUUCCUAGUCAGAUUCGUUAACCACUGAGCCAUGACGGGAACUCCAAUGGAGAUUUUAUAAAGACCAAAUAAGCCAAUGAAUCACAAGUACUCACUACAGUGCCUGGCUUGGUAUGAGCACUGAUAAUAACUAACUCAUGUAGAAAGAAGGAAAUGAAUCUAUUCAAGACUACCUGAACUUGCAAUGGCUCCAGGUUAGAGACUGUAUUCUCUUCCUUGUUGGGAAACAAAGAUGCUAAAAACAAUAAAGACUGCCUUUUCAUUAAAUUAUAGCAGCAUAGCAUCC
rnacentral:lncRNA from 1 species